rnacentral:lncRNA from 1 species
UUGCUCAGCGAAUUAACGAAAUGGUGGAAAUGUCAUUCUCUUCAAUAAAUAUUUAAUCAACCCUUACUAGGUACAAAACACUGCACUAGGUACAAAUAUUUGAUCUGCAGGCUCUUAAACACUGUCUUUUUAGCCAACAGUUUGUUUCUCAUUUAUUCAUUAGCUGACAUUUGCUAAGUGCCUUGGGGGAGUCAAAAGGGGAAGUAAAGAGGAAUCAAAGAUGGUCCCUACAUCAAGGUUAGACUGUGUCCUUUUUUUCUCACUCAAGGUCAAACCUUCCCCUGGAAGCAAACAAAACCCACAGUACCCUGGAUUCUGACUGUAUGUGAAUCAGUAAUAUGAGUACUGAUUAGAGGGUUGACUGAGUCCAUGUGGAGUUAUUAUUACGUAACAUAGUGCUCUGGAUACAAAAAAAAAGAUCCCCAAUAUUAAAUUGGUUGAUUACAGACAGAAUGACAAACCUAGGAGGGAAUCUGUAACUUCCGCUGGAAUGUAACUCAUCUCAGAGGAAUUAUGUAAGCUAAGAACUUGGAGUAACACAGUUUUGAGUCGUGGCUCUGCCACUUACAGAUUACAUGCCCUUGGUUUCUCCAUCUGUAAAUUGAUGGAAAACUACCAACCUAAUAGGAUUAAGUAAAUUUAGAAACACUCAAUUAGGUGUCAACGGAGGCUAUUCAUGUAAAUUGUGCUUACUACCUCUUCUUUCUAGGUUCAAUGAUUAUUCUCAUUACACUAGGGUAGGCCCUCAGUAGGAAUCAAUUGCAGGGAGAAAAAGCAUAGAAACUUUAAAACUGGAGGUGAAAGACAUGAGGUGAACUAGAGAUAGGGGGUACAGAGGAAAAUCAUGUAAGUAAAACUAAAAUUGCUACAUUAUUUACUGUAAAUUUCCUUUGUAAGAGUUGAGAGAUAUCUAAAUUACUUGUUGCUAAAUAACUUUAUUUUAAAAUGCAUUGCUGGCGCUGGGCUGGUGGCGUACUGGUUAAGUUCACAUACUCCACUUCAUCGGCCCAGGGUUCUCCAGUUUGGAUCCUGGGCGCAGACCCACACACCACUCAUCAAGCCAUGCUGUGGCGGCAUCCCACAUAGAACAACUAGAAGGACUUACAACUAUGCACUGGGGCUUUGAGGAGAAAAAUAAAUACAUAAAUAAAAUGCAUUGCUAUAACCUAUAAGGCCAGUGUACAAGAUUUUGAGGUAAAGUAGAAGAAACUUAGCUUCCCUGAAAAGUAAAAUAAAUUUAUUAAGAAAUGCAAGAAGGAAGUAUUGUGUGAACCAUAUUGUCAGUGAGCUUUACUGUCAAAACAGAAUUUUGAUAUAAAAAGAAAAAUACUUAUAAAUACUUGUUUUAAUCAGUAUUUGCCUUAUUAAAGUACAUUUAAGACAAUUUUUCUUAAAUCUCUAAGCUCAACUUGGAGAUCUUAUUAAAAUAUAAGUUUAGUAAAAUUUGUGUAAAGGUAAGAGAAAUUACACUUUCAUUUCUUUGAUUAACAAUUAACUCAUAAAUUUGAUCAAAUUCCCCUUAGCAUUUAACACCAUUUACAUGUUUGAUUAGUCAUAUUUUUCUUAAACAUUUGAUAAAGAGUUUUAAUGUAUUUGAUUUAUCCCCCAAAAUGGCAGACUUGUGUACUCGACAGAUUUUUGUGAGCUCCUUGACAACUUGUAGAUAGCCAUACUUAGACAUACUUAAGUACAAAAUAGUGUAAUGAUAGCAAAAGUUAGUCACUCGACUUUAAAAUAUUCAUAUUAUAGACUUUUAUUCACUUUUGGUGUCAUUUUGUUAUGUCUUCCUCUUUUUCAAGAUUAUAAUUUUACUCACUAAGCCAGUUACUUAGAUGAAAACUUGGCCCCUGACUUGUGCCACCCAACAAAGAAACAAAUGGGAAACUAGAAAUCGGUGUACCUGCCGAUAUUUGGUAGCAACUGUAAUGACUUGUCUGUUACUUUGUUAGGAUUCUUUUUUCUUUUAAUCAACUUAAUGGAGUUAUAGUUUACAUAGAAUAAAAUGUAGCCAUUUUAACUGUACAGUUCAGUGGGCUUUGACACAUGUGCAUACCGUGUAAUCACCAUCCCAACCAAGAUCUAGAACAUUUUGUUCACCAGAAAAAGUUUAUUUCCCUUAACAGUCUCUCCCCAGCCCUAGGUAACCACUCAUCUACUUUCGGUCACUGGAGAUGAAUUUUGCCUGUCCUAGAAUUUCAUAUGAUUUGAAUCAGAUAUAUGUACUCUUAUGUUUAGUUUCUUUAGUUUGCCAUGUUUUGAGAUUCAUUCAUGCUAUUGCAUAUAUCUAUAGUUUGUUUCUCUUUAUUGCUGAAUAGUAUUGCAUUGUAGUAUAUCACAAUUUGUUUAUUUGUGUAUCUGUUGAUAGAUAUUUGGAUUAUUUCUAGUGUGUGGUUAUUAUGAAUAAAGCCGCUACAAACAUCUGUGUACAAGUUUUUGUAUGGAUCUGUGUUUCCAUUUCUCUUUGGUAAAUACCUAUUAAUAGAUUUUCUAGGUCCUAGGGUAAGUAUAUGUUUAAUUUUAUAAGAAACUGUUUUCAAAAGUGGAAACAUUUCACUUUCCCAUUACCACUGAUGAGAAUUCCAUUUCCUCCACAUCCUCACUAACACUUAGUAUUGUCAGUCUUUGUUUUUUGCUAUUCUAGUAGGUGUGAAUUAGUGUCUCAUUGUGGCUUCAUUUGCAUUUUCCUAUGACUAAUAAUGUUAAGCACCUUUUCUUGUGCUUUAUGGCUAUUUUAUAUUUCUUUUGUGAAGUAUCUGUUAAGUCUUUUGGCCAUUUUAAAAAUCAGGCUCUUUUUCUUUGUGUUAUUGAUUUAUAAGAAUCCUUGAUAUGUUGGCACAAAUCUUUUGUCAGACAUGUAUUACAAAUGUUUACUCCAAUCUGUGGCUUGCCUGUUCAUUUCCUUAAUUAUGUUUUUCAUAAGGAAAAUUAUUUAAUUUUGAUUAAGA